rnacentral:lncRNA from 1 species
CUCAAAUAGAAAAUUAAAAAUAAACGCAAAAUUGUAAAUUGAAAUGCAAACCAAACAAAACAUAAGAUUUUACAUGGAAUCAAUGAUAUCAUGGGAGAUCACCUUGACAAUGCAUAUAUUUAUGUUGAAUCCUAACCUUAGGUAAAAUACAUGUACAAAAUGGGCAUUCUUUAUCAAGAAAAUAGAAAAAGUGAAAGACCAAUUAGCCUUAAACAACACACCAAUCAUCAUUUGACAUUUCUCAAGAUCAAAAGCUUGAAAUCAACUGAAAAUUCCAUCACAUGAAGCUUUUUUUCCUUCUUGAAAAUUGUCUACCACAUUUUAUGUGCUAUAUACUAUUCUCAUGAAUGAAU